UAUGUGAUCGUCUCUCGCAUAUCAAUAAGCGGAGGAAAAGAAACUAACAAGGAUUCCCCUAGUAACGGCGAGUGAAGCGGGAAGAGCUCAAAUUUGAAAUCUUAAAGGGUUUCCCUUUACGAAUUGUAGUUUAAAGAAGUGUUUUCUGUUGAGGUUUUGGUAAAAGUUCUUUGGAAUAGGACAUCAUAGAGGGUGAGAAUCCCGUAUUUGACCUUUACUUUCAACUUUGUGAUACACUUUCAAAGAGUCGGAUUGUUUGGGAAUGCAGUCCAAAAUGGGUGGUAAAUUUCAUCUAAAGCUAAAUAUUGGCGAGAGACCGAUAGCGAACAAGUACCGUGAGGGAAAGAUGAAAAGAACUUUGAAAAGAGAGUUAAACAGUACGUGAAAUUGUCAAAAGGGAAGCGUUAGACACCAGUGUUGUUUUUCUGAAAAUCAAUUAAAGAACUGUUUAUGCUAAGUUGUUUAGACUUUAUCAGCUAACUGUUUAGUUUUGAGCUUUUCUUUAAUGCACUUUUCAGUUAACAAGUCAACAUCAAUUUCUUUUGCUGUAAAAAAGCUUGAGGAAGGUGGCUUGAGAUUCGUCUUAAGUGUUUAUAGCCUCUUGCCUAUGCAGUCGGAGAGAUUGAGGUCUGCAGCGUAGAUCCUUCGGGGCUAAAUGCAUUUGUGCUAAGUUAUAGCAUUUUAUAGACAACUUGUUGACUAUGAUUUGUCUUGUAGCUUACUCGCUUAUGUUAUUUUACCUACGCUUAGGAUGUUGACUGAUAUGUAGUCGUA
rnacentral:rRNA from 1 species